AGGCGCGUAGCUCAGUGGUAGAGCGCUACCUUGACACGGUAGAAGUCGUUGGUUCAAUUCCAAUCGCGCCUACAA
rnacentral:tRNA from 1 species